ACAGUGCGCGUAAUUCCUGAGUUGGCAUCCAACCCCCAGUGUACCGACCGCGGAGCGCGCCGAGCUUAUCAGAUGACCCCUGGAAGCAGAGCGACUGGGAAUUCAGUGCAACCGGCACGGUUGGCUUGAUGCGGGUGAAGAACUCCGGGAGCACAUCUGAUCAGAGUCGAGUCUGAGGGGCACGAUCGGGGGGCACAGCGCCCGCCCUAGGUGUGUCCGGGUCGGUCCCGGAACUGGUUAACGAACCCCGACUCCUGAGAAGUGCAGAGAGCGCCGGAACUCGCUCGCAGGCCGGGGCCGCUGCCUGGGGGCGGCUGGCGGCCGCACGCUCCACCCCGGUCCCUCCUCCCGCUGCGCCGGGGGAGGAGAGGGUCGGGGCGAAGGCCCGCGCGGGGCGGACGGAGGACCACGCCCGCGCGCAGCCCACCCUCCCGCCGCCCCCGGCGCCUCCGCGGCGUGCAGAGCUCCGCGGUGCGGCUAGGGAGCAGCAGCUGGAGUUGGCGCGCUCGGGUUCCCGUGAGCAGCUCGCCGCAGCGCCCAGAUGCAGAAUUGCACUGGAUGCAUGGAUGUUUCCAGUGGGUGAUGAAGUAUGUUCCAGAAUACCUCAGCCCCUCUUUUUUAUCAACUCGGAAUGGUUCCAAUACCCUGCUAAUAUCAUCAAAAUGAAAAAAUGCUAUUUACCUGGUAGAGAGAGAAAAAUGAUUACAAUCAGGGGUUCAGUCCAUCAGAAUUUUGCUGACUUCACUUUUGCCACUGGCAAAAUGAUUGGAUACAUAUUCACAUUAAAAGGAGAAAUAGAUUCAAAGGUAGUCAUUGAUCUUAGCAACAAAGCUUCAUUAGCAUUCUUACAAAAGCAUUUAGGUAAGAAAUUAACAAUCUUUCAAGACAGUAAACCAGGUGAUUCUCAGGACAGCUGCUUAUUUUAGUGUUACAUUAAUCCCAUUCUAACUGUCUCUGGUUAGUUUACGAUGUAACCUAGCAGUAAAUCAGUUUGAAAACAAAAACUGGAGUUUAAUUUUGCUGCUUUGCAUACUAUAUAUCAUAGACAGCACGUCUGCCUGUUAAAGAAAAGUCUUUCUCUGAAGACUGGGGGGGACGUCCAUCCUGAGGACAGCACAGUGCCUCAAUCCCAUCUCAUUCAAGGGCACCCGCUGAAGCCAUGUGGCAGCUCUCAGGGAACACCUUGCUUCCAAAAUCACAAUGCAGUUUGGGUAAUUUGUGAUGCUAUGCUGCCACCUAGAGGCACGGAACUGUAUAAUGUUCACAGAAGUGUAACGUGUUUAUGAACAUUUAUAUUUUACAGAACUUCAGGAAGACUUUGAUCGGUGGGAUUCUUUGAUUGAAGGGGAAGAUGAUAAUCUUAUUCCAGGGACCAACAUUGACACAAUCAGCCAAUAUGUCAGUCUACAGAAUUCUACAAGAAUAGAGAAAUACAAUUUAGACUAAAAGUACUUUUUAAAAGUCUUGUUUAGAGACUAUCUAAAAGUGUGUGUGUGUGUGUGUGUAUGUAUGUAUGAUUUUAAUGUUUCUUUCUCAAAUAACUCAUACUAAAAAGUGUAGGCUAUGCCAUAAUAAUGAUUGAAGCUUAGACUAAGAUUCUUUUUUCAUUUAAAUGUGAAGAAAUACUGCUGUAUAUAAAAAUCAUAACCAGCCUAAAUUUUAAUUUUACUAAGAUGAUCCUUUUUAGUGUCAAAAUUAAUAACUGCUUUUAUAUUACUCUAAUUGAAAAGUAUAUUAAAACAAGCACAAUGCCAAAGAAAACAUGUUGAUGAAAUAACACUUCCUAAAAAUACAAUAAAAACAGAUUUCUUGCCUCUUU